rnacentral:rRNA from 1 species
UACGGGGGGGGCAAGCGUUGUUCGGAAUUACUGGGCGUAAAGGGCUCGUAGGCGGCCAACUAAGUCAUACGUGAAAUCCCCGGGCUCAACCCGGGAACUGCGUCCGAUACUGGGAGGCUUGAAUCCGGGAGAGGGAUGUGGAAUUCCAGGUGUAGCGGUGAAAUGCGUAGAUAUCUGGAGGAACACCGGUGGCGAAGGCGGCAUCCUGGACCGGUAUUGACGCUGAGGCGCGAAAAGCCAGGGGAGCAAACGGG